UACAGGGUAUGUGGAAAAAAUCACAUGCAG
rnacentral:piRNA from 1 species